GCCCGGUUAGCUCAAUCGGUAGAGCGUGAGACUCUUAAGAGCACACGAUCUCAAGGUUGCGGGUUCGACCCCCGCAUCGGGCU
rnacentral:tRNA from 1 species